GCCUUCGUGGUGCAGUGGUCAGCACACUUGGCGAGUAUUCGAGAGGUUCGUGGUUCGAGUCCAAGCGAGGACA
rnacentral:tRNA from 1 species